CUACCAUGGGCCCUUUCUGUGUGAAUGUCAAGACUCUUUAAUAGGAUGGGGAAACCUAAAGGAGUCUAGGGGUUGGGGCAUCCCAGGAAGACCAUCCCUCUCCCCAAAAGGCUAGGAGAGCCUCUGGCUGGUGUUCAACUUGGCGGGACACUUUCUUAGGGGCAACAGGGUCUGAGAGUAAGAGCUGGAAAUGUAGAGAAGAAGCCUUGGCUUACUGGCUAUGGAAAGAGCAGGAGUGGAUUGGGGAGAAAGAAGUCUCUUGAAUUCCAGUUCCACCUCUGCCACUUAGCCAGCUUAACUGUAUGACUUCACACACCAUUUCCCCCUCUCAGCCAUCUGCAAAAUGGGGAGAGGCUUUGUUUGGAUUUCUUUAGUUUCAAAGAACAGAAAGUUGCUUGAGCUCAUUUGGACAAAGUAGACUUGAGUUAGGAGCGAGCUGUGAGAACUAGAACAUAAACAUUGGGGGAUGGGGAAGCCACCUGGGGAUCAGUUCUUCUUUCGAUCUCGUCAAUGGGUCUGUUGCCAUCUGCUCUCCUCUACUCUUCAUAGAAUGAUUCCUCCCCUGCACUUUCCUCUCUGUCGUAGAGCUUCUCCCUGCUCGGAAUCAUGACUCUAGUGCUUAUGAGGGACUCCUCAUGGUGCCACUCCAUGGUCCCUUACUUUGGGACCCUUGUGAUUUCCCUUUCUUACUACCAGCUGCUCCCCAUCCUUCCCAGUUCUGUUGCAUACAGAGGGAAUCUGAUUGGCCCUGCUCUUUUUUCCCGUCCAACCUUGACAGAGAUUGUGGAACUAUUUAUGAUUUGCACCUGAUCAGGGGCCACAAAGUCUUCAUUGAUCUGUGGGAGGGACAGACCCCUGGAUUGAUAAUGCCUAGUACUGGAUGGCGUGGGGGUUGAGUUGGAAUAGCUCACACUUAUAAUAAAGUGCCACACACAGCACCCGACACCAAAGUACUUAGGUUUGACUGGGCGAAACUCAGAAAUUCUCUCUUCUACCAUAUGAUUCUAGUCUCUUCUUUUUCCCUCCAGCCUGCUGCUUUUCUUGGCCUCCCUUCCUUCUCUGGCUGGCCUGGACUUGAGGUGGGAUGGUCUUUUCAUCCAGACUCUCCAGAGCACCCUGCACCUCAGCAAACCUUAUACUUAAAGCUCCCAACCUCAGCUCUGCUUUCCCUCUUGGCAGACCUCCUGCCAAGGUCUGUGUCACUGGGAAGAGUGUAGGUGGGGAUUGUAAGUAGCUACCAUUCACUGAGCACCUCAGGUGCCUGGCCCUGUGCUCAGUGCUUUACCCAUUUAUGUUAUGAGCUACAAUCCCCUCUUGAGAGGGAGAUUUUCCAGAUGGGAAAACAGAUUUAACAUGGUGAAGUGAUGUGAACCCAGCUCUAACUUGAAAUCUUUGGCUGGAGAGCAGAGCUGUUAGUACGGGCUCUCCCACAUUCUCCCUUCCAAGUGUAAUUUCCAUACACUGUGCCAAAACUUUCCUCUUCUCUCUAGCUUUAUAAGAUAAAUUAGCUAAGAGGUAAUUUUUAUUGACUAUUAACAGCUAACUUUUAUCAAGUAUUUAAUACAUUCCAGACACUGGCCUUAGCACUGUGCACAUAUCAACUCAUUUAAUCUUCAUAACUGUAUAGAUUGGGCACCUUUGGUGUCCCCAUUUUGCAAACCUUUGCCUUAGGUUGAUCAAAGUCACACUGUACUAGUGGAGAAGGAUUCAGGGCUAGCCCAUCUGGCUGCACUCUGAGUUCUUACUGAAGGUCAGAGAGCUGCCCUCAUUCCAGUUCAAGGCUCUAGAGCCCAUUUUCUCUCUACUUCCUCCAGGAAUCGCUUCCAUCAAUCACUCCCCCACCUCUACUCCCUCUCUUCCCACUGGUUCCUUAGCAUUCAAUGUGAUUACAACUUUCCCAUCCCUAAAGAGUCCUCAAUUCCAUUUUACUCUACGGUCACGGCUCUUUCUUUGCUCACUCUUUCCUCACUAUCACAUCCCAAUUUCUUGAGAUUCUCUACUGACUGUCCAUACAUCCUCACCCCUCUCCAAACUGACCCCCAGUCCUGCCCCUCCACUUAAACUGCCCUAAGCAUAUAGAGAUUGCACCCCACAUUUCCAGAGAGAAAAAACUGAUUCGCUUCAACAGUCCUAAAAUACAGACAAUCAAGCAUGAAAUAAACUUUGUAAAUUGUAAAACAUGAU
rnacentral:lncRNA from 1 species